AGAAGCUGAGGUCUAAGCAGGGAUCAUAUUUCAGCCCUGUGUGUUUCCUGACAGCCACACGCUGUACAUAAGGGUCUAAAGCUCUCGCCUUACUAAUACAGACAAAAGAGUUCAACACUUGUGCUGUGCUGGGACCCUGAGGAACUCAAGCCUUAUUCCUAGCAAGGCGACUGCCCAAGUAAGCACAGGAAGAUACCCAGGCUGGCCAUGUUGGGAACAGACUUUCUGAGCUGUCCCAGAGGAGAGAGCAAUUGGGCUAAGACCAGAAAGAUGAGUGGAGGAGAGGGAAGCCUGACAAGAGGACAGCAUGCAGCCUGGACAGGUGUAACUGCUCUCCAGGGAUGCAGCUGUGAAAGAGGCGAGGACUCAGCUCACUCCAGAGCCGACGGAACUCAGAGAAGCAGAGUCGCCGGACCAAGCACUGCCCAAGAAGAGGGAUGGGGACCAGGCGGUGCCGGGCUACGGUGGUCCUCCGGGUGCCAUAAAUGCUAAAAUCACCCAUCUCCUGUAAUCCUGCAUCUGUGCUCUCAAGAGUGAGAUGGUUAAGUUCACCGCUUUGUGGAGCUGGCUGCGGAUGGCUUCUGUGUGGUCCUCUGUCCCGGGAGAAGAUAGAGCGCAGGCUGAUGGGAAGGCUCAGCCGGUGAAGACACUCGCUUCCACACCUGUGGCCUGAGUGCAAUCCUGGUGAGCUUCAUGGUGGAAGCAGAGAACUGAGGCCAUAAGGAGUCCUCUGACUGCUACAUCUGUGCCUCGCACACUCUCCCAGUAACUAAAACUGUCAUUAAAACCUUAAAAGGGGCUGGAGGGAUGGCUCAGCGGUUAAGAGCACUGCCCGCUCUUCCAGAGGUCAUGAGUUCAAAUCCCAGCAACCACACGGUGGCUCACAACCAUCUGUAAUGGGAUCGGAUGCCCUCUUCUAGUGUGUCUGAAGACAGCGACGGUGUACCCACAUACAUAAAAUAAAUAA
ensembl:lncRNA